UAAAGAUGAACUCAGUCUAAGACCACCGCAUCCUGCGGCAACGGCUGAGUGACCAACAUCGCGUUGG
rnacentral:sRNA from 1 species